UACGUAGGGGGCAAGCGUUGUCCGGAUUCAUUGGGCGUAAAGAGCGUGUAGGCGGCCAGGUAGGUCGGUUGUGAAAACUGGAGGCUCAACCUUCAGACGUCGACCGAAACCAUCUGGCUAGAGUCCGGGAGAGGAGAGUGGAAUUCCUGGUGUAGCGGUGAAAUUCGUAGAUAUUCGGCGGAACACCAGUGGCGAAGGCGACUCACUGGCCCGAUACUGACGCUGAGGCGCGAAAGCGUGGGGAGCAAACAGG
rnacentral:rRNA from 1 species